CCACCAACCAACGAAGUACUGGGCCUGUGGGUAUUCGUCUCUCUCCCCGCCCCUGAGAGUCUGGGAAAGGCUGACACGUGGUGCCUUCAGGCUCUGGGGCCUAGGACCUUUGUGGUAGCAGAGUCACUGCAGAGAACCAGACAAUACCAGGUUGCUUAUAAAAGGAUGCCAUGUGCUUGCUGGAGGUCCCAGGUGCAACCAAAUUGCUUGCAGCUAGGAGGACCUUGAAGAGAAAUGGGAUCAGCCCGCCAAACCAAGAAGGGUUAGCACUUUUGCUAGGAGAGCUGACCACGCACAAACAGAUGAGAACCAAAACCGAGUGAAGAGGAUUGAAGAUGAACCCACAUUUUAAAAGUUCUUGUCUGCUGGAGGUGGCAUUACCUGUGACCUCGCUUCACUUCUCCAUACAUGGCUGUUAUAGCAGAAAAUCCAGCUUUCUGAAGCAUAUUUCACGACAUAUGAUGAGACUUAUGUGAUGUGAGACCUGAGAAAACUAUGAUAGAAAGAAGCAACUCAAGUUGCAAGGAUAUUCCUCAUGUAUCAUGCAAGGAUAUUCCUCAUAUAUCAUAGACUAAGGUGUCAGUAUGUUCUUCAAGCUGCUCUGCUCCUGGGCCCAAGCUAUUCUCCUGCCUCAGCCUUCCAAGAAGCUGAAACUACAAGAACACAAGACUGUACCUGGCUUGCAAACACCAUUGCUAAUAAGAAGAUAUUGUAAGACUGAUACCUAAGAGAUAAGAGGCAUGGAUCCCUGAGGUCUGCCCCAGUACUAUAAGACAAUUUGAUGUAAGAAAACACAGCAGAUAUAAUACUGAGUGAAGAAGAGUAUAAAUGAGAAGAUUGGUUGUGCAGAUACUGAGUUCAUGAAAAGAGGAGAUGAUUGAUGAGGCCAGGUGCGGUGACUCAUGCCUGUAAUCCCUGCACUUUGGGAGGCUGCGGCGGGCGGAUCACCUGAGGUCAGGAGUUCGAGACCAGCCUGGGAGACAGAGCAUGGAAACCUAAGGUCUGUACCCAAAACUACAGGACUAUUUGACAUCAUAAUAAAACACUGCAGAUAUGAUGCUGAGUAAGAGUAGAAAUGGGAAGACUUGGUUGUGCAGUAACUGAGUUCUUGAAAAGAGGAGAUGCUUGAUGAGGGCAUGGAUCACUAAGGUCUGUUCCCAAUACAAGAAGACUCUUUGACAUCAUAAUAAAAUACUGCAGAUACGAUGCUGAGUGAAAAAGAGUAGAAAUGGGAAGACUUGGUUGUGCAGAAACUGAGUUCUUAAAGAGAGGAGAUACUUUAUGAGGGCUGGAGUGCACUGGAGCAAUCCUGGCUGGCCAAUACUGAGUUCUUGAAAACAGGAGAUGCUUGAUGAGGAUGGGAUCAUCUAGUUGCAGGAAAACAAGGCUCAGGGUGCCUACUGAUUCUAC
rnacentral:lncRNA from 1 species